rnacentral:rRNA from 1 species
UAGGGAAUCUUCGGCAAUGGACGGAAGUCUGACCGAGCAACGCCGCGCGAGUGAAGAAGGUUUUCGGAUCGUAAAGCUCUGUUGUAAGAGAAGAACGAGUGUGAGAGUGGAAAGUUCAUACUGUGACGGUACUUAACCAGAAAGGGACGGCUAACUACGUGCCAGCAGCCGCGGUAAUACGUAGGUCCCGAGCGUUGUCCGGAUUUAUUGGGCGUAAAGCGAGCGCAGGCGGUUAGAAAAGUCUGAAGUGAAAGGCAGUGGCUCAACCAUUGUAGGCUUUGGAAACUGUUUAACUUGAGUGCAGAAGGGGAGAGUGGAAUUCCAUGUGUAGCGGUGAAAUGCGUAGAUAUAUGGAGGAACACCGGUGGCGAAAGCGGCUCUCUGGUCUGUAACUGACGCUGAGGCUCGAAAGCGUGGGGAGCGAACAGGAUUAGAUACCCUGGUAGUCCACGCCGUAAACGAUGAGUGCUAGGUGUUAGGUCCUUUCCGGGACUUAGUGCCGCAGCUAACGCAUUAAGCACUCCGCCUGGGGAGUACGACCGCAAGGUUG